GGGGGGUGGGAGGUGGGGGGGGGGGGGGGAGGGAAAUGUCACCCGAGGUGGGUGAGGGACAGGACGGACCGACCGACCGACCGACCGACCGACCGACCGAGCGACGGGCGGAUGGACGGACGGAGCGGCCCGCCGGCUUGUCAAGGCUCGCUUAAAAAGGAGAAAAGGAAAAGCGGUGGAAAAAAAUCAAAAAGCUGAGCCCCCCCCCCCCCCCCCCGGACCCGCACGCUGUUGUUGUUGCCGCCGCGGCUCGGGGAGGAUUUUCGAAAGUGAGCGAAGCUGAGGAGCUGCUGCCUUCCCCACCGGCUCUGAAAAUCUUCCCCUCACGUAUCCUGGUCCUGCACAGCCCUACUGGACUCCUUGCAGCCGAGUGUCAGCAGGCCUGAGCUUCCCCGGGAUCCCACCGCCUGCUUCCAGAGCUGCAUCCAUGAAAAUAUCAGCAAAUUUCGUAGGGAGAGCCAAUCUCUCUCUCUCUCCCCCUCUCUUUUUUUUUUUUUUUUUUUUUUAACCAACUGACACAGUUGGAGAGAACAGCAAGCUUUUGGGCUCACAGAGCUUAGACCAUCAUGGCUACGAAAACUAAACUGCUAGUCAGAAAAAAAACACGUAAUUCUGGAACUCCUUAGUGAAAAAGCAGUGCAAAACAACGUCAGAGCAGUUGCCAAGUGAUCUUCUCCGCAGCACCCACAAACUUCAGCCUUGAACUGAAGAGGACUCAUCAAAUGCCUUGGGAGAUACAGAAUGGAACUGGAAGAGAAGCAGGGGUCUACAUGAAGGGCAGUCCACUGGAGUCUUGGUGUGUGGAGGAACGGGUCCUGUUCUCGCUGUUGCUACUCCCACAUAGGUGGACUCUGUAACUGAUUAUGUGUGGGUAGGGCCCUAUUGAAAUUAAGGAGAUUCUGCAAUAGUGCAGGGUUCUGUUUGUGAAAGUUCAGUUGCAAGAUCAGGACCCUACUGUGACUUCUUACUGUGAAUUCUGUCACUGUAUCAUUGCUUGUGCUGGAACCUGCCUUUUGGGAUAAUGUAAGUCCUGCUUUUCCCCCAAAUGUACUUUAGACAUGAAAUAAUCAUGAAAACGUUCCUAAUUAGAAAAUAAAUAUCAUUUACAUGCAUUCUUUUAAUUAUGUUUUUUUGGCAGUACCAAAUAAUAUAUUCCUCAAAACUUCUUAAUGGCACUGAGGCUUUGUGGAUAGUUGGUCACAUGAUGAGAAAAUUCAGCUGUUUGGGAAUACUUCAAGAGCUGGAAAUACCAAACCAGAGUAAAUUUCCCUCAGUGGCAACUGAGAUGAUAGCCCUGGUUCUGUACAAUAAAAAGGAAGAGGAAAGGAAUGUGCCUGAACAUUCAGCAUGUUAGCUGUUGCCCAUCAAGACUACUUCUACCUGAUACCUCUCCUUCAGUAUCAAGAGGUUGACUCUGAUUUUGAUCAACAUAUGAUACCAGCUUCCAUCAGUUGCUUGUUAAGUUUUCACACCACACCGGAUACUUUCUCCUCAGCUGCCUCUCGUGUUGGUUGACUCCUUCAUAAACAGAACUGUUCGCCCUCUUCCUUUAAAUAUCUUCUUAAAAGUUUUAUGCACUGUGAAGCUUAAAGCAAUCCAAUGCUUAUCACAGUAAUACUUUGUCAUUGCCUUUGUACUUUGCAAUAAUCUCUGUUGUCUCUUUACAUAGAAAUCAAGCACACUCUUUUUGUUGUAUGCUUAUUCAUGGCCCAGCAUAACGAGAAGUGGAUCCAGGGUGAGGCCUCCUAAGAUUUGUGGUAAUACAAAUAAAUAAUAAUGAAUGCUCAUUGGAUACUGCAGUGUAGCUGUUGGAUCCUGCUGUGCCUUGUGUCACAUCAUAUUUAAUGCAGAAAAAAGGUGCUCCAAAGAGAAGCCUCACAAAAGGGAAAGAAGUAAGUCACAGUGAACAGAUGAAAUGCUAGCCCCCAGGGGCCUUCUCAGCUGUCAGACCCAAGUCAAUAGCUACUGGCAUUGCGUCCAGAAAGCAUCCCUCAUUCCUCUCCGUCUUCUCCACAAGCUCUCCCUCCUCACAGAAGGAAGUUAAUGUGAAUGUUACAAAGUUCUCCGGUGUGUACAAAAGCUUAAAGGACUUCACAUACUUCCAUAGCGUCCUUCUGCUCCUUAGUGCAUUCCCUUCCUGACACAGCAUCUCUUGGUACCAAAAUCUUGAAUAAGUACAAGCUGUUGUUCAGGCCAUCCUGUUGGUCAGUCCUUUUUCAAAUGCCACCUGGUUCUCUGUUGAGAAGGAACCUGCGCUAGUUUUGAUUUGGUAUCUAGGUACAUUGCUACCUCAUACUGCUCUGUUUCCCUGGUACCUUGAAGAUCAUGAUUCUUCAGGAGAGCGGUAAGCAUGAAAUGCAUCAGGAAUUCCUCAGGUAUGUCACCCUCUUUCUGGAAGUGGGUCUGCAUGCGUCCCUUUCCUUUCUUUCCAAGGGACACUGAAAUAUCAGUGCAUAGAUGGCACAGAAAUGAUGGAACGUUAGAGUCUCCCUGAUGCAGAGACAACAGAUUGGUCUGUGCAAUCAAUAGGAUAAACCACAAAACAUAAUUACAAAUGUUUCCGUAUCUGAAUAGGAGAAGCCUGGUAAGAGCUCUAAACUAGCUUAUGGGAUGGAGACAGUGACUGUGAAAUACUGGGGGAAACUAGAGAAGCUAUGCAGCCUAAAACCUUGAUCAUGAGAGAUCUUGGUUAUCGAUGUAUGGACUGGAUAAGCUUAACAUUAGGCCAUCAUGCAUAAGCUGUGUUUUUAGGUACCAUCAAGAACUACUUUUUGAGCAAACCAGCUAGAGAAUGCAGAAUAGUGAGGACAGCCCUCGGUUUAGUCUAGAAUUAGUACACUCGGAGGUACUUGGGUGGACAAAGUAACUAGAGAAGAACCAUUCAGCAGUGAUAGGUCAUAUCAAACUGAAGUUUGUCGUAUUUGUAGGAGAGAAGAAGAUACAAAAAAAAAUCCAAUAGUGUUUAAAAGAGAGGAAUUGCAUACAAAUGAAGAAAUAAUUCAAGUAAAAAUUAAGAGAGACUAAGACAGACACAGAGACUUUGUUCUCUGAUUCUAACCAAAUUGAACAAGAAUUCUCCAUCACAGCAGAACAGUAGAGGAGGUUACUAGAACUAAAUACAUGUUCUUCCAAAAGUGAAAUCUGAACAUCAAAGAAGAAAAGAGCGCGAUUCUGGCAAGUUAAUUGUAGAACUAUUGUAAGGCAGGACAAAAAGAUUUUGAAGAGAAGCAGGCUAAAUUCAUAAAAGCAAAAAAAAAUUUUGGACCAGUGUAAAUUCUACAGAUAAAGGAAUUCUGCUAGCAGGGUGGCAAGUUCAAUAGACAAUCAAGGGACAAAGAGAAUAUUUAAAGGCAUAGCCAUUGCAGAAAGAAACAAAUGAACUCUUUGCAUCGGCAGGGUUUACUCCAGGGAGAUUAUGGACACCCCCACAUAAAAGUAAUUCAUUAUAAGGAAUAUUUCAGAUUUGAAAUAUCAAUAAAAGAUUUUUGAACAACUCGAUUGAAUAAGCAUUAACGGAUUGCCAGAUAGCAUAUCAUUCAUUCAGUAGUCCUAGAGAAACUGAGAAAUGAAAUUGGUCAUCUGUGCAUUGUGUUGUAUAAUCCAUCACUUAAAUUGGACUUGAUAACAGAGGGAUGGAACGUAGCUAACGUGGCACCAGGUUUAAAAGGGCUCUAGGGAUGAUCGCGGACUAAUAUACUAAUAAGUCUGACUUCCCUGACAGGCAAAAUGCCAGUGAAUAUGAUAAAGAAUGUAAUUAAUAGGAACGUGGAUGGGUAUAAUGGGCAACCAUCAUCUUGGCUUUCGUACGAGGUAGUUUUGUCUUACAGCUUUGCUAGUUAUUUGAAGGAGUCAACACAAAUAUGGAAAAGGGUCACCCAAAAAUCUUUUAAAAAGUCUGACACCGAAGAAUGUUAAGGCAGUGAUUCUUUGUGGGCUACUAAACGGCUACAAGAUAAGGAAGACUGUAGCAAUUAAUCAGCAAUUUUAACAGUGCCACCUCCCAAAGAUUGGUACAGACACCUUUGCUGGUCCACCUGUUCUUAAAUGGCCUGAAAAAGUGCAGGGAUAAAGCUCAGAGAUGAUAAAAGGGAACUAUUCAGUUGGUGCCAGACCUGAUGUUGACCCUUGAAGAGUCGGAGAAGGAUCUCACAGCAGGAGCUGAGGAGAGGCCACGUAUCCGUCAGCAGGGAGGGGUAGCACCCCAUGAGCUGUGAGCUCAGCAGGCUGUGAGCAGUGCUGCCAUUCAGCAAGGCAGGGACUUGCAGCUGCUCUUUCUAACCACAACAGGGCCUGCAAGCUGAAGAGGUGAGAUGCUUCCCUAUUUCUCAGGGUUUCACAGCCCCAGCUGAGCUUAAAAUACAGACUUUGAUCCUACAGUUCCUGCCUGUCACAGUGGUGGAGCAGCACUGUUAAGCUGAUAAGUAGUAUCUCGCUGCUGUGAAAAGCUGUGGUUCUCAAGCCAUUUUACUGGUAUUUGCAUGAAUUUUUAGCAGCUCCUGCUAAUUUUUUGAAAUCUUUCUGGGCGGAAUUCAUGCUAGGAAAAACUGGCAAAAUGAUAUUUGAAACAGAGAAGUCAUGCUGGCAUGCUGGGCAAUUCUGAGCAUUGAUGGGAACUGUACGCAACAUAGAAACGAAUGAGGAAGGUAUGGCAUAGCUCUUGUGCAGGGCCAGUAAAUGAAUCGAUUCUUCAAUAUGGCAAAAUGUUGACCGAGGAGUAGGUAACAUGAGAAGGGUUUCUAAUAUGUGGAAAUGUUUAGUAGGGGACUCUUAACUCCUUGUUUCUUAGAAUGGAAUAACGAUUAGCCUUUGGUCACCGUUUUAUGUAACUUAGGUGACCUUUAAGAUGGCAGAAGGCUGCUUAUCACCAAUGUCAUCUGCCAUAGUUUUGUGAAUGCAUCUUUUUACAUGCACGAAUCCCAGCUGUUACUGGUCUUGAAAACUCCACUUAUCUUGGACCAGCUGGGGCCAAAAUCCAACCUGUGCAAAAUUAUAGCUUUUCUGUAAAUAAAAGUCUGUUGGUGAUAAGUUUUCAAACAUGAAUCAAAUGCAAACUUGUCCCAUUUUCCUAAAUCUGCAGAUUUAUUUAUUUAUUUUUCAACCCUCUGCUUCUCUUUGUUCCUUUAUCUGGCAGUAGUAAUGUUAUGGAUGGCCAGAUCGGUUUUACUUGUUUUGUUUGCAAACCUGUGGGCAAGGGAGAAUGCCAGUUUGCUACUACGGAAAGCUAAAUGCAAUAGCAGGCCCUAAAUUUAAUCUCGUGUGGAAAUCAGAUAAAGUAGCAGAAAUGUUUCACACAGCAAGCAGAAGGUUUGGAUGGAGGGAGGAAGUAGAGGAAGCAUUGUACCUUUGAAAUGGCUGGAAUGGUUUCCAAGCUGUGGGCCACAAACCCCUGAUGGGCUACAAGGCUAUGGUAGGCUGAACAGCUCUUUGGCUAAACCACAUUUAAUGGUGUUUAAAAUAGUGUUUUCAAUUAAAAGUUUGAUCAGAUGGAUGUGUGCUGGUUUGUGAAAAAUGUUAGGGGCUAACAACAAUCUGUUGUUCCAGACGUUUGGGAUCCACUGCUCAGGAGUGUACGAAAAGGUAGAGAGCUCUCCCCUCCUACUCCUCCAGCCUCAGAUAGGCUGUCAGCAACAGCAAGAGGUUCCCAGAAGGGAGCCAGGAAGAGCAGUCUGGCAGCAUUAACCCCUCUGUCCCGACCACAUCCUCCCCAGGAACUCGUAACAGAAUUGUUUUGUUAGUCAUUGCAUUGUCCUUGAGUAUCACUAAUUGUCUUUGCUGCCUCUCUUUUCAUAUAUGCACACAACUAGUAGAUGUAGUUUCCUGACAAGUGAGUAUUGGGUCCCCGUCAGACAAAGAUUAGACUGCUCAGCUUCAUCAGAUGAAAAUAUAUCUGUCUUUGAAUGCAUAUCUGAUUUCUCAUUGUCAGAAAUUCUUACAUUUUCUAUCAGUAUUAACAGACAAACUUUCCUUAUGAGCAUUAGCAUGUCUUAGUACAAUAUCUGUUCAUUACUCUAAAAAAAUCCCAGUUCUAGUUGACCAACCUCUUUUAAUUUACAUACGUUUCCUGAAUGGUGAUUUUACAUUGCAGAAAUCUUCCUUGUCCUCGCAUCAGGCCUCCUAUUACUUUUAUUGUUUUUCUAUUGAAAAUUUUCCAGAAUUGUAAGGUAUUAGCAGUGCCUUUAGUUGCCCUUGACACAGGUUACUCCCUGUUGUCCUGAGUACCAGGCCAGCACAUCCAUAAAUAAUUUGCAGAGAUUGUGGCUUUUCCAACGCAUUGUUCAUCUUUGUUAGCAACUACGGUGGUGUUGAAUUGAGAAAUGCCAAAUUAUAAACCUUAUUCAAAUGAUAUAAAUUUGUUUUUCUGAAGAAAUUCGUUGUCUAAUGUAAAAUUAGACCGUAGCGUAUGUAUUUUACAAAAUUUAAACAAAAUACUGGAAACAAGUUAUUGACAAUCAUGUUCUAAAAGGAAUUAGCUUGGCAGGGUAGCAUGUUCUUUGUAACCCUUUUUGUUCCGUAUUUCUUAUUUGUGUGAUACUUAUAUGGGAAAUGAGGGGUUUUGUGUAUGCUUUAUGUUAUUAUUAUUCUAUUAUUGUUGCUAAAUAUCUGUUGCUGCUAUGACUGAAGUUGUCUUUCAGCGUUCUGAGUCCUGUAUUACUUAUGGUUGAUUUGUCUUGUUCAGAUGCUCAGGGUUAAGGGGGAUACGAGGUCAGGAAGAAAUCUUUGCCUUGUAUGUGAAAGGAACAUAUAGGGGAGGAGAGAGUUUUUCUUCUGCCAUAGCAUGGAAAAAGGUUACUUCCUGGUGUCAUCUGGGGGUUGCUGUGCCUAUAAGCAAGGGAUAUGGGUACAUGGUGAGGGGGACAUGUGGGUAGGACUGGGGAUCAGUGUAUGGGAGUAAGGAGCUGGGGACAGGGGUCAGGAUGGGGUUUCUGUGGGGAUUGGAGCAGUCACAGUUGGGUAGGUGUGUUGGGGUUAGCUGGAAGUCACUUCACCCAGAACAUGGCAACAUCUCUCUCUGCCUCUGGCUUGCUCCAUGCUUUCCCCAUCUGUUCCCUCCCUGUGUUUCUGGAACCCCAGCUUCUUGUCCAGUUUCUGCACGUUGCGCUGUCACAUGAAAACCCUACUUUCCUGUGUGCUCUAGGAACAAUUUUACACACGCAAGCACAAAAGGUCCCACGAAUCCCUCCCACCUGAAGUUUCUCUUCAGUCUUGCUAUUCUUUCUUCUCCCUCCUGCCUACAGGGUUCUGCUCUGCAGGUGCAGACAGGUAACAAGUGGUGGCUGGGUGCAACAUAAUGCCUCUCCUUCACAACACAAUUUGCAUCUUCUCCAAGUGGGACAUAGCCCACCCAUCAUUUGAAAUCUGCCGAUCAAAGAUUAAUUCUUUAAUUCCUUUUCCCCCUUUUCAUGUAGUAAUCAUUAAAAGGUGACCUUUUUUUUUUAAUUUUUCCUCCACAUGUUGAAAUAAUUUCUUUACAGUCUUACAAAGAAGCAGAAAAGUUUUGGAUUUCUAGACCCCGGUCCCUUCUGAUUUGCAAUUCUCUCUGAUUUAUGACCUUCUUAAAAAAUCUAGUGGAUGAUUGUACCUGCUGGUCAUAAGCUAAAGCCUUCUGACAGGAUGCUUCCUUUUUUAAUUACUAUUUUGCAGACCACUUAAAAGAUGUUUAGGAAGUCUAAAGAGUCUGCAGAAAGAUUGAGAGCCACUGUCUUAGAGGAUCCCCUUAAACGCAUUUU